UACAGAGGUCUCAAGCGUUGUUCGGAUUCAUUGGGCGUAAAGGGUGCGUAGGCGGGCAGGUAAGUCAGUGGUGAAAUCUCCGAGCUUAACUCGGAAACUGCCGUUGAUACUAUUUGUCUUGAAUAUUGUGGAGGUAAGCGGAAUAUGUCAUGUAGCGGUGAAAUGCUUAGAUAUGACAUAGAACACCAAUUGCGAAGGCAGCUUACUACACAAUUAUUGACGCUGAGGCACGAAAGCGUGGGGAUCAAACAGG
rnacentral:rRNA from 1 species